rnacentral:misc_RNA from 1 species
UAGAAAGCGAUCAUCGCUGUGGAAAUCACCAUUGUCACCUUCAUAUUCUUCAUCAUCGUCUUCCAUUAGGGAGAUUCCAGAAGAAGAAAACGAACAGAACCCAGUAUCUGCACCAGUGGCAGCAGGUUGCCCAGGCUGCUUAUCUUAUGUUUUGAUAUUGAAAAAUAAUCCAAAAUGUCCCAGGUGCAAUUCGGUUGUUCCAGUUCCAAUAGUAAAGAAGCCUAGGAUAGAUCUCAACAUUCCAAUAUGAUAAAUCAGAGAGAUUUGAUGUUUUUGUGAUUUUGUACAUGAUAUAUGGAAUUAAGGGUUUCAGAGAAUAGAAUUGUAGGCAAAAAAGAGAUAUAUCAUUUUUUUUUUUUUUAUGGCUUUUUAUCCCAUAACAGUUAGGAAAUUUAUGCAUCUUAGACCUCAAUUUGCUGCCAUGUCUCCG